CCUACGGGAGGCAGCAGUGAGGGAUAUUGGUCAAUGGACGAGAGUCUGAACCAGCCACGUAGCGUGAAGGAUGGCUCGUCUAUGGGUUGUAAACUUCUUUUAUAUGGGAAUAAAACGUUCCACGUGUGGGAUUUUGUAUGUACCAUAUGAAUAAGGAUCGGCUAACUCCGUGCCAGCAGCCGCGGUAAUACGGAGGAUCCGAGCGUUAUCCGGAUUUAUUGGGUUUAAAGGGAGCGUAGGUGGAUUGUUAAGUCAGUUGUGAAAGUUUGCGGCUCAACCGUAAAAUUGCAGUUGAAACUGGAAGUCUUGAGUACAGUAGGGGUGGGCGGAAUUCGUGGUGUAGCGGUGAAAUGCGUAGAUAUUAGGAGGAACACCAGUGGCGAAGGCGGUCUGCUGGACAGCAACUGACGCUGAGGCGCGAAAGCGUGGGGAGCAAACAGGAUUAGAUACCACAGUAGUC
rnacentral:rRNA from 1 species